GACGAACGCUGGCGGCGUGCUUAACACAUGCAAGUCGAACGGAAAGGCCCUGCUUUUGUGGGGUGCUCGAGUGGCGAACGGGUGAGUAACACGUGAGUAACCUGCCCUUGACUUUGGGAUAACUUCAGGAAACUGGGGCUAAUACCGGAUAGGAGCUCCUGCUGCAUGGUGGGGGUUGGAAAGUUUCGGCGGUUGGGGAUGGACUCGCGGUUUAUCAGCUUGUUGGUGGGGUAGUGGCUUACCAAGGCUUUGACGGGUAGCCGGACUGAGAGGGUGACCGGCCACAUUGGGCCUGAGCUACGGCCCAGACUCCUACGGGAGGCAGCAGUGGGGAAUAUUGCACAAUGGGGGGAAGCCUGAUGCAGCAACGCCGCGUGCGGGAUGACGGCCUUCGGGUUGUAAACCGCUUUCGCCUGUGACGAAGCGUGAGUGACGGUAAUGGGUAAAGAAGCACCGGCUAACUACGUG
rnacentral:rRNA from 1 species